rnacentral:rRNA from 1 species
UACGAAGGGGGCUAGCGUUGCUCGGAAUCACUGGGCGUAAAGGGUGCGUAGGCGGGUUUUUAAGUCAGGGGUGAAAUCCUGGAGCUCAACUCCAGAACUGCCUUUGAUACUGAAGAUCUUGAGUCCGGGAGAGGUGAGUGGAACUGCGAGUGUAGAGGUGAAAUUCGUAGAUAUUCGCAAGAACACCAGUGGCGAAGGCGGCUCACUGGCCCGGUACUGACGCUGAGGCGCGAAAGCGUGGGGAGCAAACAGG